AUCACGCAAAUAAGGAAAGAGGGUAUAGGAUUAAACAUGUACAUAAGUAAAUAAGGGAAAAGGAAAGAGGUGAAACAUGGUAAUAAACAGUUAAGGAAGAGGAAACGGUUGAGACAUGGAAAGAAGACAGUAAAUAAGACAACAAAAUGAUAACUAAGCAUGAUAAACAUCUAGCAAAUAAUAAAAGAACCAAAAUAAAGUAAACCCCACAUAAAUAAGCAUGAAACACGUAAUGAUAAGAACCUAACAUCCCGAGCAGAGUCGCCACUCUGUCGCGCCCCAUUUUUUUAAAAAAUGGGUCUUGUGCACGACCUAACAACUCUUUUGGGAUUUGGACUUAGGAGUCGCCACCUAACGAAUUAAGGAGUGUUAGGGCACCUAUCUAACCUAACUUAGUCUAGCUAAGGUCAACGAGCUAGAGAUCGAGGUAAGGGUUCAUAUUACCUCGAGGGAAAGGUGUUAGGCAUCUCUCGAGGUCCACAAAUGUGGGUCCUGACCGUAUCUCAUGCACUCUAUGUGGGGGUUACAAGUAGCAAAUAAGGUCACUUCAUUUAUUAGUUUAUUUAAGCUUGCUAAGUGAUAGCAAAUAUAAAACAAUUAAGACUAUUUUAUUAUUUUUAUUAAAUUAAACAUGCAAGGCUAGGUGAUAGAAAUAAAUAAACAAUCACGUUUGUUUUUAUUUAUUUAACAUACGAGACUAUGUGUUACACAAAUGGAACAAAGAGCUCGUAUUAUUAUUUUAAUUAAUAUUUAAAUAUGCGAUACUAAGCGAUAAAAUAUCAAACAAUUGAGAAGUAAAUUUAUUAUUUUUAAUUAAUUAUUUAAGCAUGCAAAACUAAAUGAUAACAAUAAAUAAGACAUUUUAAAAAAAUAAAGAUAAGCGAGGGGAUAGAAGAGAGGCAAAUAAAUAAGCAAACAAUUUUCUUAUUUUUAUUUUAACCUUCCCCUUCACCCCCGACCGACCAUGAUCUUCUCAGAAGGGUUAGAGUGUGAGCAUACCUGCUGGGACCCAAAAUAUAGUGAAAUAUGCCUUAGCGGGAAGAAGCUAGAGGACACUCUGGUCGAGGCCCAAAGCGAUACUAACAUGCAAAUCAUUCGUAUAACUUUGGUAUAUGGGAGAAAGACUAAUCAAACCAUCAAGUAGCUGGUUCCCUCCAAAGUUUCCCUCCGGAUAGCUGGAGCUCGCGUGCGAAUUCUAUCGGGUAAAGCGAAUUGUUAGAGGACUGGGGAGAAAAAUGCCGUCGACCCAUUCUCAAACAUUAAAUAGGUAGGACAGCGCGACUGUUUUUUUGAUCCGCGCCAUAUAAUCAAAAGCUACAACUUUGUCAUUUUAUAUAAUUAGAAUUGGCGAUGUGGGAUGAACCUAAAAAAGACGGGAUAUGGUUCCAAACUGCGCUAACCUAGAUUCCACUAAGGGUGUUGGUCGAUUAUGAAAGAAGGACGGUUGUCAUGGAAUUCGAAAUCCGAUAAGGAGUGUGUAACAACUCACUAGCCGAAUCAACUAGCCCUGAAUAUUGAUGGAAAUUAAGCAAGAUGAGUAGGAGGGCGUGGCGGUCGCUUUAAAACCUUGGGCGUGAGAGUAGGCGUAGUGGUCAUCGGUGCAAAUCUUGGUGGUAGUAACCAAUAUUCAAAUGAGAACUUUUAAAUCCGAAGAGAGGAAAGGUUCCAUGUGAAUGGAACUUGCACAUGCUUUAGUCGAUCCUAAAGGUUAGGGGAGCCCCGAGAGAUAGCAUGUUUCGCGCAUACUCCGAAAGGAAAUGAGGUUAAAUUUUCUGAAAGGUGAUGCGGCGGUUGACGCUAAAGUUAAAAAGUGUGGAGACAUCGACGGGAGCCUCGGGAAGAGUUAUAUUUUCUGUUUAAUAUCCUACCCACUCUAGAUUCGACUCAGGCGAAGGUAGGGUCCAGUAGCUGGAAGAGCACGGCACGUUGCGUGGUGUCCGGUGCACUCCUCGAGUCCCUUUAAAAUUAGAAGGAUAAUAUGUCAUCCAUGCCAGGUCGUACUCAUGACAGAAUCAGGUCUCCAAGGUGAACUACUUCUAGUCGAUGAAACAAUGUAGGCAAGGGAAUUCGGCACGGGGGUCCCACUCCCUAACCCGUCGGCUGUCGAUGGACUGCUCGAGCUGCUUCUACAGCGAGAACGAGUCACCACGUGCUGGCCGGGGGACGAACUGGGAAUGGUUCCUUCUGGCGCCUUCCCAGGGCAUCGAAAAGCCAACUCAAUACUAGUAAGUACAAGGGGAAUUCUACUGUUUAAUUAAAACAAAGCAUUGGGAAUGUCCCAACGGAUGUUUACUCAAUGUGAUUUCUGCCCAGUCUUUGAAUGUUUAAGUAAUGAAAUUCAACCAAGCACAGGUAAAUGGCGAGAGUAACUAUGACUGUCUUAAGGUAUCCAAAUGCCUCGUUAUCUAAUUAGUGACGCACAUGAAUGGAAUAACGAGAUUCCCAUUGUUCCUGUCUACUAUGCAGCAAAACCAUAUCCAAGGGAACGAUCUUGGCAGAAUCAGCGGAUAAAGAAGACGAGUUGAGCUUAAUUCUACUCCGACUUUGUGAAAUGACAUGAGAGGUGUAGUAUAAGUGGGAGAUGAAAGGCAAAAGUGAAAUACCGCUACUUUUAACAGUAUUUUACUUAUUCCGUGAAUCAGAAGUGGGGCACUUUCCCUCUUUUUCGACCCAAGGCUUGCUUUGCGGGCCAAUCUGGGCGGAAGACAUUGUCAGGUGAGGAGUUUGGCUAUUACGGCAUAUCUUGUUUAAGAUAACGCAAGUUUUCUAAGAUGACAUCAACGAGAACAAAGAUCUCGUGUGGGACAGGAGGUUAAAAUCUCAUUUGAUUUGGAUUUCCAUUACGAAUAAGAACCGUGAAAGCAAGGCCUAACGAUCUUUUAGACCGUUGGAAUUUGAUGCUAGCGCAGGGAUAACUGUCCAGUGGCAGCCAAACGUUCAUAGCGACGUUGCUUUUUGAUCCUUCGAUGUCCGCUCUUCCAAUCGUUCUGAACCAAAAUUCAGCAAGUGUUGGAUUGUUCACCCACCAAUAGGGACCGUGCGCUGGGUUUAGACCGUCUUGACACAGGUUAGUUUACCCUACUGAUAAUAUUGUCGCAAUAGUAAGUCAACCUAGUACUAGAGGAAUUGUUGAUUCACAAAAUUGGCCAUUGCUCAUGGUUGAAAAGAUAGUGGCGCGAACCUGCCAUGUGCUAGAUUAUUAGUGGAUGCCUCUAAGUAAUAAUUUGAACUCAAAAGUGAACCAUGCGCCCCCUGUACACUUGCCUAACAGAAGUGGGGGCCUUUAACCCCCAAGGGUCCGUGUCGUUAGCAAAGUCUCCGUGACGGAAGCGACGCGAUGACUGUGUUGAAGUACAAUUUCUAUCGAGCGGUAGGUAGAAUCCUGUUUAGAUGACUUUAGUAUGCAACUGGUAUUGUAACUGGCAGAGUGGACUUGGUACCACGGUCCACUAAGAUUCAUUCCUUUGUCGCUCCGAUUCGU
rfam:Solanum lycopersicum cultivar Heinz 1706 chromosome 7, whole genome shotgun sequence.